GACGAACGCUGGCGGCGUGCUUAACACAUGCAAGUCGAACGGAAAGGCCCUGCUUGCAGGGUACUCGAGUGGCGAACGGGUGAGUAACACGUGGGUGAUCUGCCCUGCACUUCGGGAUAAGCCUGGGAAACUGGGUCUAAUACCGGAUAGGAGCCAUUUUUAGUGUGAUGGUUGGAAAGUUUUUUCGGUGUAGGAUGAGCUCGCGGCCUAUCAGCUUGUUGGUGGGGUAAUGGCCUACCAAGGCAGCGACGGGUAGCCGGCCUGAGAGGGUGGACGGCCACAUUGGGACUGAGAUACGGCCCAGACUCCUACGGGAGGCAGCAGUGGGGAAUAUUGCACAAUGGGCGCAAGCCUGAUGCAGCGACGCCGCGUGGGGGAUGACGGCCUUCGGGUUGUAAACUCCUUUCGCUAGGGACGAAGCUUUUGUGACGGUACCUAGAUAAGAAGCACCGGCUAACUACGUG
rnacentral:rRNA from 1 species